AUAAAUCAACUGGAGGCGCUUGCAGUAUUGGCUGGGGCGUCUCUAGGUGAAGUAGAACCGCUGUCGGAUGAAGAGCUCGACACAUUUCUGUU